rnacentral:rRNA from 1 species
CCCAAGGAAGGCAGCAGGGCGCGUAAAUUGCCCAAUCCCUGACACAGGGAGGUAGUGACAAGAAAUAACUUAGUCGGGCCCAUACGGGUCUGACUUUAGGAAUGAGAACAAUUUAAAUCCCUUAUCGAGGAUCAAUUGGAGGGCAAGUCUGGUGCCAGCAGCCGCGGUAAUUCCAGCUCCAAUAGCGUAUAUUAAUGUUGUUGCAGUUAAAAAGCUCGUAGUUGGAUUUCGAAUGGGAGCGGCUGGUCGGCUCCGCAAGGGGUCGCAACCGUGUUGUCUCCGGUUCUAUUUCGGGUGAUCUUGGUCAUGGCAUUGAUUUGUCGUGGUUGAGUCCCGUCGUUUACUGUGAACAAAUUAGAGUGUUCCAAGCAAGGCUUGACUUGAAUACAUUAGCAUGGAAUAAUAAGAUAGGACUUUGGUGGUUCUGCCCUCGUGGUGGAUAUUUUGUUGGUUUGCACGCCAAAGUAAUGAUUAAUAGGAGCAGUUGGGGGUAUUCGUAUUCAAUUGUCAGAGGUGAAAUUCUUGGAUUUCUAGAAAACGAACUACUGCGAAAGCAUUUACCAAGGGAUGGUUUCAUUAAUCAUAAACGGAAAGUUGAGGG